rnacentral:rRNA from 1 species
CCUACGGGCGGCAGCAGUGAGGAAUAUUGGUCAAUGGCCGGAAGGCUGAACCAGCCAAGCCGCGUGAAGGACGAAGGUGCCAAGCAUUGUAAACUUCUUUUGUCAAGGGACAAAAUCAGGCUCGAGAGCCUGACCGAGGGUACUUGAAGAAAAAGCAUCGGCUAACUCCGUGCCAGCAGCCGCGGUAAUACGGAGGAUGCGAGCGUUAUCCGGCUUUAUUGGGUUUAAAGGGUGCGUAGGCGGGCUGUUCAGUCAGCGGUAAAAGCCCGGGGCUCAACCCCGGCGAGCCGUUGAAACUGGCUGUCGUGAGAUGUCGAGAGGUAUGCGGAAUGCGCAGUGUAGCGGUGAAAUGCUUAGAUAGUGCGCAGAACUCCGAUUGCGAAGGCAGCAUACCGGCGGCGAUCUGACGCUGAGGCACGAAAGCGUGGGUAUCGAACAGGAUUAGAUACCCUAGUAGUC